rnacentral:rRNA from 1 species
CAAAUGAAUCAAAACUUUCAACAACGGAUCUCUUGGCUCUGGCAUCGAUGAAGAACGCAGCGAAAUGCGAUAAGUAAUGUGAAUUGCAGAAUUCAGUGAAUCAUCGAAUCUUUGAACGCACAUUGCGCCCGCCAGCAUUCUGGCGGGCAUGCCUGUUCGAGCGUCAUUUCAACCCUC